rnacentral:rRNA from 1 species
UUAAGCGACUAAGCGUACACGGUGGAUGCCUUGGCAGUCAGAGGCGAUGAAGGACGUGCUAAUCUGCGAUAAGCGUCGGUAAGGUGAUAUGAACCGUUAUAACCGGCGAUUUCCGAAUGGGGAAACCCAGUGUGAUUCGUCACACUAUCAUUAACUGAAUCCAUAGGUUAAUGAGGCGAACCGGGGGAACUGAAACAUCUAAGUACCCCGAGGAAAAGAAAUCAACCGAGAUUCCCCCAGUAGCGGCGAGCGAACGGGGAGCAGCCCAGAGCCUGAAUCAGUGUGUGUGUUAGUGGAAGCGUCUGGAAAGGCGUGCGAUACAGGGUGACAGCCCCGUACACAAAAAUGCACAUAUUGUGAGCUCGAUGAGUAGGGCGGGACACGUGGUAUCCUGUCUGAAUAUGGGGGGACCAUCCUCCAAGGCUAAAUACUCCUGACUGACCGAUAGUGAACCAGUACCGUGAGGGAAAGGCGAAAAGAACCCCGGCGAGGGGAGUGAAAAAGAACCUGAAACCGUGUACGUACAAGCAGUGGGAGCACAGAGCAAUCUGUGUGACUGCGUACCUUUUGUAUAAUGGGUCAGCGACUUAUAUUCUGUAGCAAGGUUAACCGAAUAGGGGAGCCGAAGGGAAACCGAGUCUUAACUGGGCGUUAAGUUGCAGGGUAUAGACCCGAAACCCGGUGAUCUAGCCAUGGGCAGGUUGAAGGUUGGGUAACACUAACUGGAGGACCGAACCGACUAAUGUUGAAAAAUUAGCGGAUGACUUGUGGCUGGGGGUGAAAGGCCAAUCAAACCGGGAGAUAGCUGGUUCUCCCCGAAAGCUAUUUAGGUAGCGCCUCGUGAAUUCAUCUCCGGGGGUAGAGCACUGUUUCGGCAAGGGGGUCAUCCCGACUUACCAACCCGAUGCAAACUGCGAAUACCGGAGAAUGUUAUCACGGGAGACACACGGCGGGUGCUAACGUCCGUCGUGAAGAGGGAAACAACCCAGACCGCCAGCUAAGGUCCCAAAGUCAUGGUUAAGUGGGAAACGAUGUGGGAAGGCCCAGACAGCCAGGAUGUUGGCUUAGAAGCAGCCAUCAUUUAAAGAAAGCGUAAUAGCUCACUGGUCGAGUCGGCCUGCGCGGAAGAUGUAACGGGGCUAAACCAUGCACCGAAGCUGCGGCAGCGACGCUUAUGCGUUGUUGGGUAGGGGAGCGUUCUGUAAGCCUGUGAAGGUGUGCUGUGAGGCAUGCUGGAGGUAUCAGAAGUGCGAAUGCUGACAUAAGUAACGAUAAAGCGGGUGAAAAGCCCGCUCGCCGGAAGACCAAGGGUUCCUGUCCAACGUUAAUCGGGGCAGGGUGAGUCGACCCCUAAGGCGAGGCCGAAAGGCGUAGUCGAUGGGAAACAGGUUAAUAUUCCUGUACUUGGUGUUACUGCGAAGGGGGGACGGAGAAGGCUAUGUUGGCCGGGCGACGGUUGUCCCGGUUUAAGCGUGUAGGCUGGUUUUCCAGGCAAAUCCGGAAAAUCAAGGCUGAGGCGUGAUGACGAGGCACUACGGUGCUGAAGCAACAAAUGCCCUGCUUCCAGGAAAAGCCUCUAAGCAUCAGGUAACAUCAAAUCGUACCCCAAACCGACACAGGUGGUCAGGUAGAGAAUACCAAGGCGCUUGAGAGAACUCGGGUGAAGGAACUAGGCAAAAUGGUGCCGUAACUUCGGGAGAAGGCACGCUGAUAUGUAGGUGAAGUCCCUCGCGGAUGGAGCUGAAAUCAGUCGAAGAUACCAGCUGGCUGCAACUGUUUAUUAAAAACACAGCACUGUGCAAACACGAAAGUGGACGUAUACGGUGUGACGCCUGCCCGGUGCCGGAAGGUUAAUUGAUGGGGUUAGCGCAAGCGAAGCUCUUGAUCGAAGCCCCGGUAAACGGCGGCCGUAACUAUAACGGUCCUAAGGUAGCGAAAUUCCUUGUCGGGUAAGUUCCGACCUGCACGAAUGGCGUAAUGAUGGCCAGGCUGUCUCCACCCGAGACUCAGUGAAAUUGAACUCGCUGUGAAGAUGCAGUGUACCCGCGGCAAGACGGAAAGACCCCGUGAACCUUUACUAUAGCUUGACACUGAACAUUGAGCCUUGAUGUGUAGGAUAGGUGGGAGGCUUUGAAGUGUGGACGCCAGUCUGCAUGGAGCCGACCUUGAAAUACCACCCUUUAAUGUUUGAUGUUCUAACGUUGACCCGUAAUCCGGGUUGCGGACAGUGUCUGGUGGGUAGUUUGACUGGGGCGGUCUCCUCCUAAAGAGUAACGGAGGAGCACGAAGGUUGGCUAAUCCUGGUCGGACAUCAGGAGGUUAGUGCAAUGGCAUAAGCCAGCUUGACUGCGAGCGUGACGGCGCGAGCAGGUGCGAAAGCAGGUCAUAGUGAUCCGGUGGUUCUGAAUGGAAGGGCCAUCGCUCAACGGAUAAAAGGUACUCCGGGGAUAACAGGCUGAUACCGCCCAAGAGUUCAUAUCGACGGCGGUGUUUGGCACCUCGAUGUCGGCUCAUCACAUCCUGGGGCUGAAGUAGGUCCCAAGGGUAUGGCUGUUCGCCAUUUAAAGUGGUACGCGAGCUGGGUUUAGAACGUCGUGAGACAGUUCGGUCCCUAUCUGCCGUGGGCGCUGGAGAACUGAGGGGGGCUGCUCCUAGUACGAGAGGACCGGAGUGGACGCAUCACUGGUGUUCGGGUUGUCAUGCCAAUGGCACUGCCCGGUAGCUAAAUGCGGAAGAGAUAAGUGCUGAAAGCAUCUAAGCACGAAACUUGCCCCGAGAUGAGUUCUCCCUGACUCCUUGAGAGUCCUGAAGGAACGUUGAAGACGACGACGUUGAUAGGCCGGGUGUGUAAGCGCAGCGAUGCGUUGAGCUAACCGGUACUAAUGAACCGUGAGGCUUAACCUU